CUAUCAUUUCUACUUAAGCUCCUGUGGGUCAUUGAUUUCCCAAAGCUUCUAAAAGACACCUUGCAGUGCGUUAAAAUCACCAUCAGGGCUAUGCAGAGUGCCAUCUCCUGAAUUCCUGCAGCAUUCUCACUUUGAUGCUGCAAACAGAGGAAGAUACCAAACAAAUUGUGACAGCCACAGGAAAUGAUUCUACAGGAGAGACAGCAUCACACCUACUUGCAAAGAUAAAGCAAAUAUGGAGAAAGGAAUGAAUAAUAGAAUGGUGAACACAGAUAUACUCUGAACAAUCAGACAGACCAUCUUCUGCCUCAUUCAAUGCUUCUUUCUUCUAGAAACAGAUUAUUUUUCAUCAAAACCUCUACCCAUUACCUUCAAGGAUUCUAAGUCAAUGAUAGGGGUCUCCUUCCCCCUUUUGGUGCAAAACAGAAU